rnacentral:rRNA from 1 species
CACGUAGGGCGCGAGCGUUGUCCGGAAUUAUUGGGCGUAAAGAGCUCGUAGGCGGUCUGUCGCGUCUGCUGUGAAAACUCGGGGCUUAACCCCGGGCCUGCAGUGGGUACGGGCAGACUAGAGUGCGGUAGGGGAGACUGGAAUUCCUGGUGUAGCGGUGAAAUGCGCAGAUAUCAGGAGGAACACCGGUGGCGAAGGCGGGUCUCUGGGCAAUAACUGACGCUGGAGGAGCGAAAGCGUGGGGAGCGAACAGG